rnacentral:lncRNA from 1 species
UUUUAUUGAAUUAAAGAUAAAUAUUGCGGGUUACAAACUCUAAUUUAAUCCUCUGAUUCUUCUCUCAAGACCAAUAUAUGUUGACUUUGAAUUUCGGAGUCGGGUCGUAGACUUGAUCUUCUCCGAAUUUGAUUUUGAACUUGAAUAACGUUUUCCGAGGGUCUCGCGACUUGAAUCUCGGAUCGAACGCUGAACUUUGACGAGCUUCGACUUGAAGAUCUUGGAGUUCUUGAUGGAUUUGGCCCUUCAAUCUUCCUUCGAUCUUGAUUUGUUGAAGAAUGCCCUCGAUUUGAUGAAGAACGACUUGAAUUUGAUGAAGAACGCCUUGAAUUUGAUGAAGAUGACUUGAAUAUUGUAGAUAGAAUUUUCUCCUACGGUUUUUC